GUCGCUCGUGGCUGGUUUCAGAGUCGCGGUUCUUGACCGCGCCGAUCGUGUGCAUGCUCACGACGAUCCGCG
rnacentral:tRNA from 1 species